rnacentral:rRNA from 1 species
CCCUUAGAUGUUCUGGGCCGCACGCGCGCUACACUGAUGAACGCAACGAGACCACCUGUACCGAAAGGCAUGGGUAAACUUGUGAAAGUUCAUCGUGAUGGGGAUAGAUUAUUGCAAUUAUUAAUCUUCAACGAGGAAUUCCUAGUAAGCGCGAGUCAUCAGCUCGCGUUGAUUACGUCCCCGCCCUUUGUACACACCGCCCGUCGCUCCUACCGAUUGAAUGGUCCGGUGAAAUCUUCGGAUUGCUGGAUAGGACUUCAUUGACCUAUCUGCGAGAAGUUGCUUGAACCUUAUCAUUUAGAGGAAGGAGAAGUCGUAACA